UACGUAGGGAGCAGGCGUUGUCCGGAAUCAUUGGGCGUAAAGCGCGCGUAGGCGGCCUCAUAAGUCCGUUGUGAAAGUCAAAGGCUCAACCUUUGAAAGCCGAUGGAUACUGUGAGGCUAGAGUCCGGAAGAGGCGAGUGGAAUUCCUGGUGUAGCGGUGGAAUGCGCAGAUAUCAGGAGGAACACCAAUAGCGAAGGCAGCUCGCUGGGACGGUACUGACGCUAAGGCGCGAAAGCGUGGGGAGCGAACAGG
rnacentral:rRNA from 1 species